CCGUGCUAGGUGGGGAAUUAGCGGUGCCCUGUACUCGCAAUCCGCUAUAGCGAGACUGAAUCCCUUCCCGAGGUUUAGCCACUGCAGGGUCUGCCCUGAAUAAGUGGUGUUGACAUUCGGGUCCUGCGCAACAGAGUCCUACGAAUCCUGUCAGGUCCGGAAGGAAGCAGCAGUAAGUAGGUACCCUCUGUGUGCCGCGGGAGUGCCCGGAUCGAGCUAACUGUUCAGGUAACGCCUGUGGUGGCUUUAUCAAAGGAAGGUGCACGG
rfam:Anaerobacillus macyae strain DSM 16346 scaffold8, whole genome shotgun sequence.